UACGAAGGGGGCUAGCGUUGCUCGGAAUUACUGGGCGUAAAGGGCGCGUAGGCGGACAGUUUAGUCAGAGGUGAAAGCCAGGGCUCAACCUUGGAAUUGCCUUUGAUACUGGCUGUCUUGAGUUCGGGAGAGGUGAGUGGAAUGCCGAGUGUAGAGGUGAAAUUCGUAGAUAUUCGGCGGAACACCAGUGGCGAAGGCGACUCACUGGCCCGAUACUGACGCUGAGGCGCGAAAGCGUGGGGAGCAAACAGG
rnacentral:rRNA from 1 species